GACGUAGGGCGCGAGCGUUGUCCGGAUUUAUUGGGCGUAAAGAGCUCGUAGGCGGCUUGUCGCGUCGGCUGUGAAAUCCCGUGGCUCAACUGCGGGUCUGCAGCCGAUACGGGCAGGCGUAGAGUUCGGUAGGGGAGACCGGAAUUCCUGGUGUAGCGGUGAAAUGCGCAGAUAUCAGGAGGAACACCGGUGGCGAAGGCGGGUCUCUGGGCCGAUACUGACGCUGGAGGAAGCGAAAGCGUGGGGAGCGAACAGG
rnacentral:rRNA from 1 species